GUUGUAUGGUUAAGUGACUAAGCGUACACGGUGGAUGCCUUGGCAGUUGGAGGCGAUGAAGGACGUACUAACUUGCGAUAAGCCUAGUCAAGCCAGUAAGAGGCGCUUGAGACUAGGAUUUCCGAAUGGGGAAACCCACCUGCUUGCAGGUAUCGUUAACUGAAUACAUAGGUUAACGAGGCGAACGCGGAGAACUGAAACAUCUAAGUACCCGUAGGAAAAGAAAUCAACCGAGAUUCCGAAAGUAGCGGCGAGCGAAAUCGGACCAGCCCUUAAGCUUUAGUGUAGUUAGUGGAACAUGCUGGAAAGCAUGACGAAACAGGGUGAUAGUCCCGUACACAAAAACUUAUCUAAAGUGAAAUCGAGUAGGUCGGAGCACGUGAAACUUUGACUGAAUAUGGGGGGACCAUCCUCCAAGGCUAAAUACUCCCAACUGACCGAUAGUGAACCAGUACCGUGAGGGAAAGGCGAAAAGAACCCCUGUGAGGGGAGUGAAAUAGAACCUGAAACCGUGUACGUACAAGCAGUAGGAGCCUACUUGUUGGGUGACUGCGUACCUUUUGUAUAAUGGGUCAGCGACUUAUAUUCUGUAGCGAGGUUAACCAUUUAGGGGAGCCGUAGCGAAAGCGAGUCUUAACUGGGCGCUUAAGUUGCAGGGUAUAGACCCGAAACCCGGUGAUCUAGCCAUGGGCAGGUUGAAGGUUGAGUAACAUCAACUGGAGGACCGAACCCACUAACGUUGAAAAGUUAGGGGAUGACCUGUGGCUAGGAGUGAAAGGCUAAUCAAACCGGGAGAUAGCUGGUUCUCCCCGAAAUCUAUUUAGGUAGAGCCUCGGACGAAUACUUACGGGGGUAGAGCACUGUUAAGGCUAGGGGGUCAUCCCGACUUACCAACCCUUUGCAAACUCCGAAUACCGUAAAGUAAUAUCCGGGAGACACACGGCGGGUGCUAACGUCCGUCGUGGAGAGGGAAACAACCCAGACCGUCAGCUAAGGUCCCAAAGUGUAUGUUAAGUGGGAAACGAUGUGGGAAGGCUAAAACAGCUAGGAGGUUGGCUUAGAAGCAGCCACCCUUUAAAGAAAGCGUAAUAGCUCACUAGUCGAGUCGGCCUGCGCGGAAGAUGUAACGGGGCUAAACAUACCACCGAAGCUACGGCUGCAGACUUUGUCUGCGGGGUAGGGGAGCGUUCUGUAAGUGGCUGAAGGUGUGCCGGGAGGCAUGCUGGACAUAUCAGAAGUGCGAAUGCUGACAUGAGUAACGACAAGAGGAGUGAAAAACUCCUCCGCCGGAAGACCAAGGGUUCCUAUCCCAUGUUAAUCAGGGUAGGGUGAGUCGACCCCUAAGGCGAGGCUGAAGAGCGUAGUCGAUGGGAAACGGGUUAAUAUUCCCGUACUCGGUAUGAAUGCGAUGGGGGGACGGAGCAGGCUAGGCAAGCAUGGCGUUGGUUGUCCAUGUGAAAGGCUGUAGGCUGGUGACUUAGGAAAAUCCGGGUUGCUAAGGCUGAGAGUCGAGACGAGCCACUAAGGUGGUGAAGUUGUUGAUGCCCUACUUCCAGGAAAAGCCUCUAAGCUUCAGUUCAUACUGAAUCGUACCCUAAACCGACACAGGUGGUCAGGUAGAGAAUACUAAGGCGCUUGAGAGAACUCGGGUGAAGGAACUAGGCAAAAUUGUACCGUAACUUCGGGAGAAGGUACGCUCUUGUUUGUGAAGGACUUGCUCUGUAAGCAAACGAGAGCCGCAGUGACCAGGUGGCUGGGACUGUUUAUUAAAAACACAGCACUGUGCAAAAUCGUAAGAUGACGUAUACGGUGUGACACCUGCCCGGUGCCGGAAGGUUAAUUGAUGGGGUUAGCUUAGGCGAAGCUCUUGAUCGAAGCCCCGGUAAACGGCGGCCGUAACUAUAACGGUCCUAAGGUAGCGAAAUUCCUUGUCGGGUAAGUUCCGACCUGCACGAAUGGUGUAACCAUGGCCACGCUGUCUCCACCCGAGACUCAGUGAAAUUGAAAUCGCAGUGAAGAUGCUGUGUACCCGCGGCUAGACGGAAAGACCCCGUGAACCUUUACUACAGCUUGGCACUGAACAUUGACCCUACAUGUGUAGGAUAGGUGGGAGGCUUUGAAGCAGAGACGCUAGUUUCUGUGGAGCCGACCUUGAAAUACCACCCUUGUAGUGUUGAUGUUCUAACUUAGGCCCCUGAAUCGGGGUUGAGGACAGUGCCUGGUGGGUAGUUUGACUGGGGCGGUCUCCUCCCAAAGAGUAACGGAGGAGCACGAAGGUUUGCUAAGUACGGUCGGACAUCGUACGGUUAGUGUAAUGGUAGAAGCAAGCUUAACUGCGAGACAGACACGUCGAGCAGGUACGAAAGUAGGUCAUAGUGAUCCGGUGGUUCUGAAUGGAAGGGCCAUCGCUCAACGGAUAAAAGGUACUCCGGGGAUAACAGGCUGAUACCGCCCAAGAGUUCAUAUCGACGGCGGUGUUUGGCACCUCGAUGUCGGCUCAUCACAUCCUGGGGCUGAAGUCGGUCCCAAGGGUAUGGCUGUUCGCCAUUUAAAGUGGUACGCGAGCUGGGUUUAGAACGUCGUGAGACAGUUCGGUCCCUAUCUGCCGUGGGCGUUUGAGAAUUGAGAGGGGCUGCUCCUAGUACGAGAGGACCGGAGUGGACGAACCGCUGGUGUUCGGGUUGUGAUGCCAAUUGCAUUGCCCGGUAGCUACGUUCGGAACUGAUAACCGCUGAAAGCAUCUAAGCGGGAAGCAGGCCUCGAGAUGAGUUCUCACUUUGACUUAGAGUCAACUGAAGGGCCGUUGAAGACUACAACGUUGAUAGGCGAGAUGUGGAAGUGCUGUGAGGCAUUAAGCUAACUCGUACUAAUUACCCGUGAGGCUUAACCAUACAACGCCAAAGUGGUUU
rnacentral:rRNA from 1 species